AGAGUUUGAUCAUGGCUCAGGAUGAACGCUGGCGGCGUGCCUAACACAUGCAAGUCGAGCGAUCUUCUUCGGAAGAGAGCGGCGGACGGGUGAGUAACGCGUGGGUAACCUGCCUCAUACACAUGGAUAACAUACCGAAAGGUAUGCUAAUACAAGAUGAUAUAAGAGAUUCGCAUGGAUUUCUUAUCAAAGCUCCGGCGGUAUGAGAUGGACCCGCGUCUGAUUAGCUAGUUGGUAAGGUAACGGCUUACCAAGGCGACGAUCAGUAGCCGACCUGAGAGGGUGAUCGGCCACAUUGGAACUGAGACACGGUCCAAACUCCUACGGGAGGCAGCAGUGGGGAAUAUUGCACAAUGGGCGAAAGCCUGAUGCAGCAACGCCGCGUGAGCGAUGAAGGCCUUCGGGUCGUAAAGCUCUGUCCUCAAGGAAGAUAAUGACGGUGCUUGAGGAGGAAGCCCCGGCUAACUACGUGCCAGCAGCCGCGGUAAUACGUAGGGGGCUAGCGUUAUCCGGAUUUACUGGGCGUAAAGGGUGCGUAGGUGGUUUCUUAAGUCAGGAGUGAAAGGCUACGGCUCAACCGUAGUAAGCUCUUGAAACUGGGAAACUUGAGUGCAGGAGAGGAAAGUGGAAUUCCUAGUGUAGCGGUGAAAUGCGUAGAUAUUAGGAGGAACACCAGUAGCGAAGGCGGCUUUCUGGACUGUAACUGACACUGAGGCACGAAAGCGUGGGGAGCAAACAGGAUUAGAUACCCUGGUAGUCCACGCCGUAAACGAUGAGUACUAGGUGUCGGGGGUUACCCCCCUCGGUGCCGCAGCUAACGCAUUAAGUACUCCGCCUGGGGAGUACGCUCGCAAGAGUGAAACUCAAAGGAAUUGACGG
rnacentral:rRNA from 1 species